AGAGAGGAGUCCGCGGCCGAUUAGCUAGUUGGCAGGGUAAAAGCCUACCAAGGCAGAGAUCGGUAGCCGGCCUGAGAGGGCACACGGCCACACUGGCACUGAAACACGGGCCAGACUCCUACGGGAGGCAGCAGUGGGGAAUCUUGCACAAUGGGGGAAACCCUGAUGCAGCGACGCCGCGUGAGCGAUGAAGCCCCUCGGGGUGUAAAGCUCUUUCGGCAGGGAAGAUUAUGACGGUACCUGCAGAAGCAGCUGCGGCUAACUACGUGCCAGCAGCCGCGGUAAUACGUAGGCAGCAAGCGUUGUUCGGAGUUACUGGGCGUAAAGGGUGUGUAGGCGGCUUUUUAAGUUUGGUGUGAAAUCUCCCGGCUCAACCGGGAGGGUGCGCCGAAUACUGAGAGGCUAGAGUAUGGGAGAGGAAAGUGGAAUUCCUGGUGUAGCGGUGAAAUGCGUAGAUAUCAGGAGGAACACCGGUGGUGUAGACGGCUUUCUGGACCAUAACUGACGCUGAGACACGAAAGCGUGGGUAGCAAACAGGAUUAGAUACCCUGGUAGUCCACGCCCUAAACGAUGCAUAUUUGGUGUGGGUCAUUCAGUUGAUCCGUGCCGGAGCUAACGCGUUAAAUAUGCCGCCUGGGGAGUACAGUCGCAAGGCUGAAACUCAAAGGAAUUGACGGGGGCCCGCACAAGCGGUGGAGCAUGUGGUUCAAUUCGACGCAACGCGAAGAACCUUACCUGGGCUCGAACGGCUUCUCAACGCCGGUAGAAAUAUCGGUAUCCCGCAAGGGAGUGGAGUCGAGGUGCUGCAUGGCUGUCGUCAGCUCGUGUCGUGAGAUGUUGGGUUAAGUCCCGCAACGAGCGCAACCCUUGUCCUGUGUUGCCAUCAUUCAGUUGGGAACUCGCAGGAGACCGCC
rnacentral:rRNA from 1 species